rnacentral:rRNA from 1 species
GGUCAAGCUACAAAGGGCGCAUGGUGAAUGCCUUGGCAUCAGGAGCCGAUGAAGGACGCGAUAAGCUGCGAUAAGCUUCGGGUAGACGCACAUAGUCAGAGAUCCGAAGAUUUCCGAAUGAGGAAACUCACAUGGGAAACCCCAUGUAUCAUAAAGUGAAUAUAUAGCUUUAUGAAGGUAUACCCAGGGAACUGAAACAUCUAAGUACCUGGAGGAAGAGAAAGAAAAAUCGAUUUUCUUAGUAGCGGCGAGCGAAAAGGAAAGAGCCCAAACCAGAGAUUUAUCUCUGGGGUUGCGGACAGAACAUAACGAGAAAUCAUAGUUAAUUGAACACAACUGGAAAGUUGGACCAUAGUGGGUAAUAGUCCCCGUAAGUGAAAACUAUGAUAAUCAGUUUCUGCACCAGAGUACCACGAGACACGUGAAACCUUGUGGGAAGCAGGGAGGACCACCUCCCAAGGCUAAAUACUACCCUGAUGACCGAUAGUGAAGCAGUACCGUGAGGGAAAGGUGAAAAGAACCCCGGGAGGGGAGUGGAAAUAGAACCUGAAACCAUGUGCCUACAACCGAUCAGAGCACCUUAUGUGUGUGAUGAUGUGCUUUUUGUAGAACGAGCCAACGAGUUACGGUAUGUAGCGAGGUUAAGUACUUAAGUACGGAGCCGAAGGGAAACCGAGUCUUAAUAGGGCGACUAGUUGCAUGCUGUAGACCCGAAACCGGGUGACCUAUCCAUGGCCAGGUUGAAGCGAGGGUAAAACCUCGUGGAGGACCGAACCACGUUGCUGUUGAAAAAGCAUGGGAUGAGCUGUGGAUAGCGGGAGAAAUUCCAAUCGAACUCGGAUAUAGCUGGUUCUCCUCGAAAUAGCUUUAGGGCUAGCGUCGGAAAAUGGAGUAGUGGAGGUAGAGCACUGAAUAGGCUAGGGGGCAUAGCGCUUACCGAACCUUAUCAACUCCGAAUGCCACAUACUAUCAGUCCGGCAGUCAGACUAUGAAAGAUAAGUUCCAUGGUCAAAAGGGAAACAGCCAGAUCGUCAGCUAAGGUCCAAAGUGUAAGUUAAGUGGAAAAGAUGUGGGAUU